CGGAAAUAUUGAAACCCCCGUCAGAAAGAAAGGUACAUGGAGACUUGUCCAGAGAGAAGCUGGGGUGUUGUUAUAGUUGUUUCAGUUGCAAGUUGUCGAAGUGUGCUGAAGAGAGAUCCUUUAUACCUAAAUAGCUUACCUAGGUGGGUGAUGAGAGAGUAUUAUCUUAACGGCUAGUCUCUUGACCUUUGUGUUGAGCAUCCACGUUGUAUUUUUUGUGUGAAGGGAGGACUUAUCUUCCUAUCGACCAUCCACUACAUAAAUCUCAAGGCACUGAUUCAAUCACCCAUCAUACAAAUCUUAAAGCACUUUCAACUCCAUCUAUCAUCUAUCGCAUAGUUCUCAAAGUGAAUAGUGGAUGAUCCAGUAGAUAAGAAGGAAGAUGAAUUUUUCUUUUGUACGAAAGAUACGCUCUCAACCUCAUCUCUAAGUCUUAACACAUUUGCCGCCACCUAUCUUUAGGUGCAGUAAUUAAGUU
rnacentral:lncRNA from 1 species